ensembl:lncRNA
AGUGAGGGGAGCUGCGAUUGGUCCAGACGGGCACGUGCUCCCCGCCUUGGGACGCAUCCUAGACGGGAAGUGGAUGUCUAGGAGUUAGGGCGUGUGUGUGCCUGGGACCCGCGUCGCCCUGAGGGGCUUCUGCCCUGGCGAGUUGCUCCCCGCGGGGUCAGUGUCUCCUGCUUGUCCCGCGGCCCUGGCUUCGCAGGCCUAUUUCCGGUUCCACAGGUGUUUGGGUGGGUGUCGCUCACGUCUUCUAAGGAGGCAACGCAGGUUGGAGCCCAGGGCCCGCUCUGAGCCUCCCUCUCCGGGAGAGACCCGGCUCGGCCACGGCGUGUGGGGCUGGCCUGUAGGAUCCUGCAGUGCGAGCUGACAAGUGCUGUGGAAGAGUCUGGGGCCUACUGGUGACCCAUCCUUCACGUUCUGGACCACAAGGACCACCCCACCAGGUGCUGCUGUCCAUGUCCACAGUCCAGGCAACAUAAUCUGCGGACUUUCCUGCCACCGAGAGGAGGAACGCUCAUCUUCGUCUCAUUAGCAUGAGGAGGGGAGUGGGAACGAGGCCUCAGGCCCUCACAGAGAGUCCAGCCACACCCCAUCCUCACCUGUCAGCAGGCACAGGGACUGCCCCUGGUCAACUGGGGCCCCAUUCUGGGUGUCUCCCUUGUUGGCAGUUUGCCUCUGCAGUUUGACACCCCUGUGAGCUCCAUGAGCUUGUGAGCUUUUCCCUGAAGCUUCGUCCUGCAAGACCCCACCCUGGUCUCCAAGGCAAGGGGUCGGGGGGCCUUCAAGCCCUCACCCACCAGCCCAUAGCUGAGGCCCUGGAGAGAGUUUGGCAAGUCUUCCCAGGAAGUCCUGCAAAGGCCCACAUCUCUGUUCCAUGAGGCUCCUGGGUUUGCUUGCUGCUGUUUCAGGAGUUUUAUUUCUACUUAUUUAUUUUUAGUUCAAAUUUAUCAUAUUUAUUCAAAUUCAAUGAAAAACAAGUCUCUUUUGAUGACUACCAAAAAUUAGGGGCUUAGAUGACCAUCAUCAUCUUGUAUGUGCCUCAGCAGCCAAUUUAUAUAUGCAAAUUCUUAUUGGUUGCAUAGUAUUGAGAUUUUCUUGAUCAGGAUGUUCAAAUUUAGGGAUUCCAUCCCUCUCUGGCCCAACUUGGAUUCUUGUAACUGCAGAUAGAUGUGAAUGUCUGGGCAUCAGGAGACUGAUCAGGCUAAGAUUCCACUUGCACUUCAUCCCCAUCCUGAGGGAGCCCAGAUAU